GGUUCUCAAUAAAUAUCGAGUGGAGAGGUGGCUUUCCUCCGUAGCCUCCUCGUCUCUCAUCGGGGUUUGGCCUCUCUCCACUGCGUCCUUCGUCGUUCUUGGAUCGAAUUGUCGAUUCGGGAGAAAUGGCAGACAAAGAGAAAGACUGUCAAGAGAAUCAUGUUGAUGGAAAUGACUGGGAAGUUGUUUCUCUUUCAGCAUCCAUGAUGGCUUCUGCAGCUGAUCAAAUGGGAUUCGAUCCAUCAAAUGUGAGUAAAGAUAAGGAGUUCAAAAAAAGUGAACCAGAAUCUUCUCCUUUAAUCAUGUCAAGUCACUUCGUAUUUCCACCAAUGGAGUACGAGACUGUUAAACUAAAAGAUAGUAACUGUGAAUUUGGCAAUAGAGUCAUGAAUGAAGAUGUAAUCCCCGGUGAUGAAAAGGGUAACACCACCAAUAAGACUCUUGAAGAAAGCUUUAAGACUAAAUUGGAUGGCAGCCUACAUGGGAUUCAGUUUUCUGAGAAAGACAAGGAUCCUUCGUUUGGUGGCAUAGACAUUGGAGAAGGGAAGGCAACACAAGAAAUGAGCUUGGUUUUGGAAGAAGAGAUGCUGUUAAAUUCUCAUGGAAUUAAUGAUGAUCAUGCUGAAACUGGUAUGAGUGGAUCGUUUCCUUGUAAUGAGCAAGCUGAUGAUUCCAAGCCUAUUAAUCGUUCUUACCAAUCUCCAGAUUCUCCUCUAAGUUAUCCAAAUGCAUCAAGUCAGAUAGCAGAAAAUAAAAAUGACAGGUUUAGCCUUCCAUGUGGAGCAUGGUGGAAGAGGCAUGCAAUAACUUUAUAUAAUCAUGCAAAGGAAGCAAAUACGAUGUGGUCUGUAAUAGUGGUAGCUGCAUUAAUGGGCCUUGCAAUUCUAGGGCAACGGAAACAACAAGAAAAACCUCAGCUUCAGCAACUUCAAUUGCGUCUAAGCACCAAUGGUCAGUGCAUAAACCUGAUGCUGGGACCAAUGAACAAGCUUGAAAGCAUUUUAGCAACUGAUCAUCAACAUGGUUCUGCACUUGGAUCUGCUGCACGCAAUGUUGAUGGCAACCGUUGACAAUGAUGAUGGUGACGACAAAUAUAGGUGGUGUGGUGUGCAUGUAACCGGCAGAAUACAACUGUUUGCAUACUGUAGCUAUUACAUACUACUGGCUUUAGACAUGGAAUCUCUGGGUUUAAGCAAUCCAUGGUCUCGCAGCUGAUUCUCCAAACUUGAUACAGUUUUCCAGAGUACAAGGGAUUGAUAUCCCUAACAUUUUUUCCUUAUUUUGUUUCUUUUUUCUCUGGAAUACUUAAAGGAAGGCAGCCUUGUAGUCGUUCUAGCACUCCCUCGCAUGAUAUUUUAGGCAUACAUAUCUAAGGAAAUGUUCACAACAAAAGAAUAAGGAGAAAAAUGGUGCUCCAAGGUAACUUCGAUCUUAAAACUGCACUUUUUUUGAAAUGCCACUGGGUUAGUUAUUCCUUCGUAUAUAAUACUUGCACCUAAUGCCCCUCUGUCAUUAGCAGGCACAAAAGGUUUGAUGAAAGGAAGGACAACCCUGAGCAGAGGAAGGACAAAUUGCAUAAACUUUCAAUUUCUCGCAGCAAAACAAAGGCUACGUUUUGUAUAAUGUGCUUUACAUUAAAUUCCUCAGGCCAAUCUUCUCGGAAUGUAGUAUACUCAUGUGGUUUCAGCUAAAGUUUCUGAGGUGGAUUCUGCAAUAUAUUUGUGUGUUUUAUACAAAUAUGAACAAGAAAAUGAUAAAAGUCUCAGCUUAAACACACAAGGAAUAUAUGCCUCAUCCGGUGGUUGUUCUUUUGGUGUCACUGCCUCUAUUUUAGAUGUUGCUGCGGAUGUGUGAAGGUUCUAACAAACACCAAAAUAAGAGAGCAGGACAUGAGGAGGAAGAUCAAAAGUAUGUUGAUACUCCAUCUUCUUCUUAUAUUAAAAUGCAUAUCUGAGCAAUUUUAUAAGCAUAAAGUUUUGCUUUUAUCUGAC